AUUAUACUCCCUCUAUCCAGAAAUACUUGUCAUGAAAAUGGAUAAAAAAGGGAUGUAUCUAGAACUAAUAUACAUCUAGAUACAUCCCCUUUUAUUCAUUUUGAUGACAAGUAUUUCCGGACAGAGGGAGUAGAUA
rfam:Triticum aestivum genome assembly, contig: Triticum_aestivum_CS42_TGACv1_scaffold_147155_2BS